AUUGAACGCUGGCGGCAGGCCUAACACAUGCAAGUCGAACGAGUGGCGGACGGGUGAGUAAUGUCUGGGAAACUGCCUGAUGGAGGGGGAUAACUACUGGAAACGGUAGCUAAUACCGCAUACCAUCAGAUGUGCCCAGAUGGGAUUAGCUAGUUGGUGGGGUAACGGCGCACCAAGGCGACGAUCCCUAGCUGGUCUGAGAGGAUGACCAGCGAAACUGGAACUGGGACAAGGUACAGACUCCUGCGGGAGGCAGCAGGGGGGAAUAUUGCAAAAUGGGCGCAAGCCUGAUGCAGGCAUGCGGCGGGUAUGAAGAAGGCCUUCGGGUUGGAAAGUACUUUCAGCGGGGAGGCGUUACCCGCAGAAGAAGCACCGGCUAACUCCGGGCCAGCAGCCGCGGUAAUAC
rnacentral:rRNA from 1 species